GCAGCAAUUCCAUAAAUCCAGGCAGCCACCGUGGCUCUCCUGAAAGAAUGAGGAAGCUGCAGGGCCCAGGGAAGGCUGUGUUCCCCUUUCCUGCUGAUGUGCUCGGAGCAAAUGCUGCUUUCCUGGCUGGCUGAUCUGCUGGAUUCAGCACAGGAAUUCAAGCGCCAGCGGCGAGGGCCGGCGGCGGAGCUGGAGAGCUGGAUCCCGCUGAGAGGAUGAGAACAUGGGGCUCAAGUUAUCCUGCCUGAAAGGCUUGAAGAUGUGUGUGAGCAGCGACGGGACCCCGACGGCGGCGGCGUCGUCGGGACAGAAGCACCUGCACGUGCCCUCCAUCAUCGUCACCCCUCCCACGCCCACGGGGACCUCGCUGUCCCGCGAGGGGCGGCGCGGGGAGGGUCCCUCGCCCUACAGCCGGUGCUGAGCGGGGCCAGGGGGACACCCGGGCCUGCAGGAGCUGUCCCCGCUCCGUCGGGAUGGAGCCACAGCCUGCAGGGUGCGGCAGGGCCGGCUGCAGUUCCCAGGGACACACGGGCCACCCACGCGGGUGGGUUUGGACGCCAGGGAUUGGGGUUUGUCCCUUUUCCUAACAGUGCUGGGGAGGGGCAUCCCUCCAACAUGAAUAAAAGCCCUGAGGCUCCGCA